rnacentral:rRNA from 1 species
GCAAGUCGAACGGUGAAGCAGAGCUUGCUCUGUGGAUCAGUGGCGAACGGGUGAGUAACACGUGAGCAAUCUGCCCCUGACUCUGGGAUAAGCGCUGGAAACGGCGUCUAAUACCGGAUACGAGCUGCGAAGGCAUCUUCAGCAGCUGGAAAGAAUUUCGGUCAGGGAUGAGCUCGCGGCCUAUCAGCUUGUUGGUGAGGUAACGGCUCACCAAGGCGUCGACGGGUAGCCGGCCUGAGAGGGUGACC